rnacentral:rRNA from 1 species
UCAGCCGCCGCGGUAAUACCAGCUCUCCGAGUGGUGUGGACGUUUAUUGGGCCUAAAGCAUCCGUAGCUGGCUGAACAAGUCCCCUGUUAAACCCACCGAUUUAAUCGUUGGCGUGCGGGGGAUACUGCUUGGCUAGGGGACGAGAGAGGCAGACGGUAUUCCCGGGGUAGGGGUGAAAUCCUAUAAUCCCGAGAAGACCACCAGUGGCGAAGGCUGUCUGCUAGAAUGCGCCCGACGGUGAGGGAUGAAAGCUGGGGGAGCGAACCGGAUUAGAUACCCGGGUAGUCCCAGCUGUAAACGAUGCAGACUAGGUGUCUGGACGGCCACGUGCCGCUCUAGUGCCGCAGGGAAGCUGUUAAGUCUGCCGCCUGGGGAGUACGAUCGCAAGGUUGAAACUUAAAGGAAUUGGCGGGGGAGCACA